AACAGGCGGAGGCUGGGCGGGGUGGGAAUGGGGCGCCCGAGGCCGGCCUGGGGCGCAGCGCAGGAGGCGGCUCCGGUGGCUGCGGCUGCAGAGUGAGCGCGAGGAGGCGGAGGCUGCGGCGGGGCGUGCGGUCGCGCGGCGGCAGGCACAGGUGUAAUGGAUAGGUAACAGAGAAGACCUCGUCCCUUCCUAGUCAGGGCAGCAGCAUGACUGAGUGCUUCCUGCCCCCCACAAGCAGCCCCAGUGAACACCGCAGGGUGGAGCAUGGCAGCGGGCUUACCCGGACCCCCAGCUCUGAAGAGAUCAGCCCUACUAAGUUUCCUGGAUUGUACCGCACUGGCGAGCCUUCACCUCCCCAUGACAUCCUCCAUGAGCCUCCUGAUAUAGUGUCUGAUGAUGAGAAAGAUCAUGGGAAGAAAAAAGGGAAAUUUAAGAAAAAGGAAAAGAGGACUGAAGGCUAUGCAGCCUUUCAGGAAGAUAGCUCUGGAGAUGAGGCAGAAAGUCCUUCUAAAAUGAAGAGGUCCAAGGGUAUCCAUGUUUUCAAGAAGCCCAGCUUUUCUAAAAAGAAGGAAAAGGAUUUUAAAAUAAAAGAGAAACCCAAAGAAGAAAAGCAUAAAGAAGAAAAGCACAAAGAAGAAAAACAUAAAGAGAAGAAGUCGAAAGACUUGACAGCAGCUGAUGUUGUUAAACAGUGGAAGGAAAAGAAGAAAAAGAAAAAGCCAAUUCAGGAGCCAGAGGUGCCUCAGAUUGAUGUUCCAAAUCUCAAACCCAUUUUUGGAAUUCCUUUGGCUGAUGCAGUAGAGAGGACCAUGAUGUAUGAUGGCGUUCGGCUGCCAGCCGUUUUCCGUGAAUGUAUAGAUUACGUAGAGAAGUAUGGCAUGAAGUGUGAAGGCAUCUACAGAGUAU